rnacentral:rRNA from 1 species
AACGAACGCUGGCGGCGCGCUUAACACAUGCAAGUCGAACGAGAAGGCGUAGCAAUACGCUUGUACAGUGGCGAACGGGUGAGGAAUACAUGGGUAACCUACCCUCGAGUGGGGGAUAACCCGCCGAAAGGCGGGCUAAUACCGCGUACGCUUCCGAUCUUGCGGGAUUGGAAGGAAAGCUGUCCCUUGGGGAUGGCGCUCAAGGAUGGGCUCAUGUCCUAUCAGCUUGUUGGAGGGUAACGGCCUACCAAGGCAUCGACGGGUAGCUGGUCUGAGAGGACGAUCAGCCACACUGGCACUGCGACACGGGCCAGACUCCUACGGGAGGCAGCAGUGAGGAAUAUUGCGCAAUGGGCGAAAGCCUGACGCAGCGACGCCGCGGUGGGGGAGUGAAGGUCUUCGGAUUGUAAACCCCUUUCGGGUAGGGAAGACGGCCUUAGACAACUAAGGCGGACGGUACCUCCAGAAGCAGCCACGGCUAACUUCGUGCCA